UACGUAGGGCGCAAGCGUUAUCCGGAAUUAUUGGGCGUAAAGAGCUCGUAGGCGGUUUGUCGCGUCUGCCGUGAAAGUCCGGGGCUCAACUCCGGAUCUGCGGUGGGUACGGGCAGACUAGAGUGCAGUAGGGGAGACUGGAAUUCCUGGUGUAGCGGUGAAAUGCGCAGAUAUCAGGAGGAACACCUGUGGCGAAAGCGGCUCACUGGGACCACAACUGACGCUGAGGCGCGAAAAGCUAGGGGGAGCAAAACAGGG
rnacentral:rRNA from 1 species